rnacentral:SRP_RNA from 1 species
CCGUGCUAGAUGGGGUGUUAGCGGUUCCUUGUAACCUGCAAUCCGCUGUAGCAGGGUCGAUGCUCAGUCUGAGGGUACCUUUUGUAGAGUCUGCGCAGAUUAAGUGAUGUUGAUAAUUGGGUCUUACGCAAUAGAUACUUGUGAACCCCGUCAGGUCCGGAAGGAAGCAGCGGUAAGCUUGACCAUCUAUGUGCCGUAGGGUCGCCUAGUUUGAGUUAACUGAUCUGUUAACGUCUGUAAUAUCUAUUCGAAGCUGAGUGCACGG